AUACUUACCUGGCAGGGGAGAUACCAUGAUCACGAAGGUGGUUUUCCCAGGGCGAGGCUUAUCCAUUGCACUCCGGAUGUGCUGACCCCUGCGAUUUCCCCAAAUGUGGGAAACUUGACUGCAUAAUUUGUGGUAGUGGGGGACUGCGUUCGCGCUCUCCCCUU
rnacentral:snRNA from 1 species